rnacentral:lncRNA from 1 species
ACUUUUUUUUUUUUUUUGUAGUUUUUAUUUGAACACAGUAUUCUGACAGAAUGCAAAGUCAAAAUCCUCAGUUAGUAUCAGUAUUUACACCAGUGAGAAUGGGGAUAAAGGUGGAGUCGAUGUUUCACUCGGUAAAAAGAUUUUUUGUUUUUUUCUUUUUUUAACAAGAUAGAAGGCCCCCAAAAGUAGGGAAUGCUGGGGAAGGAUGGCCAUGGAGGGGCUGAGAACAACUACCAAAACAGCCUGGUGGGAAAGACGUGGGGCUGGAAGGCUCCACAGAAAAGUGUGGAAAGACGACGCCACUCGGGAAGCUGACGGGCACGAUUGUCACCGGUACGGAUGGAGCAGCACGAGAUGGCAGCGCUCCUGUGGCACUGGGGACGGGCAGGGGCAGCCACGGCAGUGCCACCAACCCCAGAGCAGCCACGGCAGUGCCAGCAGCCCUGGGGAUGGACAGCAGUGCCACCAACCCCUGGGGAUGGGCACACAGAGCCAUGGCAGUGCCACCAACCCCAGGGAUGGACACACAGAGCCAUGGCAGUGCCACCAACCCUGGGAUAGACACACAGAGCCAUGGCAGUGCCACCAACCCUGGGGAUGGACAGCAGUGCCACCAACCCUGGGGAUGGACACAUGGAGCCAUGGCAGUGCCACCAACCCCAGAGCAGCCACGGCAGUGCCACCGACCCUGGGGAUGGACAGCAGUGCCACCAACCCAGGGAUGGGCACACAGAGCCAUGGCAGUGCCACCAACCCAGGGAUGGGCACAUGGUGCCACAGCAGUGCCACUGACCCCAGAGCAGCCACGGCAGUGCCACCAACCCUGGGAUGGACACACAGAGCCAUGGCAGUGCCACCAACCCUGGGGAUGAAGACACAGAGCCAAGGCAGUGCCACCAACCCAGGGGAUGGACACAUGGAGCCAUGGCAGUGCCACCAACCCCGGAGCAGCCACGGCAGUGCCACCGACCCUGGGGAUGGACAGCAGUGCCACCAACCCUGGGAUGGGCACACGGAGCCAUGGCAGUGCCACCAACCCUGGGAUGGACACACGGAGCCAUGGCAGUGCCACCAACCCCGGGAUGGGCACACGGAGCCAUGGCAGUGCCAGCAACCCCAGAGCAGCCACGGCAGUGCCACCACGCUCAGGUGGUCCCCCCGAGGGGACAGAUCCCAGCCCUGA